UUUUUUGUUUUGCGCUCUUUUUAUCACUUUUAUUCCUUGCUUUUAAAGGUUUGAGUUUUGGACUUUUGGAGGAAGAGAUGGCUUAUAGAGAGAGAGAGCACAAGGGACAUGGCCUUCGGUUGUUACAAACUUCGGCCGAUCCCUGAGCAGCGGCGGAAGGUUACAACAACAAUUAGGGGCGGCGAACUUACGGUGGUUUGUUAGGACUUCGUCUGAUUCCAUCAUUGAAGGCGACAGAGACAAAGCGAUCUUCACCUCCUAAUUUCCGAUUUAGGGUUUAUCAAUGAUUGAAGAAUUCCUUUUGUCCUCUGGUUGCUGAAAACCAAAACCCUCAAUCGACCGCUAAUGCUCUCAUCCCUCAACGUCAAGGU